rnacentral:rRNA from 1 species
AAUGCUUAGGAAUCUGCCUAUUAGUGGGGGACAACAUUCCGAAAGGAAUGCUAAUACCGCAUACGCCCUACGGGGGAAAGUAGGGGAUCUUCGGACCUUGCGCUAAUAGAUGAGCCUAAGUCAGAUUAGCUAGUUGGUGGGGUAAAGGCCUACCAAGGCGACGAUCUGUAGCGGGUCUGAGAGGAUGAUCCGCCACACUGGGACUGAGACACGGCCCAGACUCCUACGGGAGGCAGCAGUGGGGAAUAUUGGACAAUGGGCGAAAGCCUGAUCCAGCCAUGCCGCGUGUGUGAAGAAGGCCUUCGGGUUGUAAACUGCUUUUGUACGGAACGAAAAGCCCUGGGUUAAUACCCUGGGGUCAUGACGGUACCGUAAGAAUAAGCACCGGCUAACUACGUGCCAGCAGCCGCGGUAAUACGUAGGGUGCGAGCGUUAAUCGGAAUUACUGGGCGUAAAGCGUGCGCAGGCGGUUUUGUAAGACAGAGGUGAAAUCCCCGGGCUCAACCUGGGAACUGCCUUUGUGACUGCAAGGCUAGAGUACGGCAGAGGGGGAUGGAAUUCCGCGUGUAGCAGUGAAAUGCGUAGAUAUGCGGAGG